rnacentral:rRNA from 1 species
GCUUAGAAGUGAGAAUGCCGGUAUGAGUAGCGAAAGACGGGUGAGAAUCCCGUCCACCGAAUGCCUAAGGUUUCCUGAGGAAGGCUCGUCCGCUCAGGGUUAGUCAGGACCUAAGCCGAGGCCGACAGGCGUAGGCGAUGGACAACAGGUUGAUAUUCCUGUACCACCUCUUUAUCGUUUGAGCAAUGGAGGGACGCAGAAGGAUAGAAGAAGCGUGCGAUUGGUUGUGCACGUCCAAGCAGUUAGGCUGAUAAGUAGGCAAAUCCGCUUAUCG